GGGGAAUAUUGCACAAUGGGGGAAACCCUGAUGCAGCGACGCCGCGUGGAGGAAGAAGGUCUUCGGAUUGUAAACUCCUGUUGUUGAGGAAGAUAAUGACGGUACUCAACAAGGAAGUGACGGCUAACUACGUGCCAGCAGCCGCGGUAAAACGUAGGUCACAAGCGUUGUCCGGAAUUACUGGGUGUAAAGGGAGCGCAGGCGGGAAGACAAGUUGGAAGUGAAAUCUAUGGGCUCAACCCAUAAACUGCUUUCAAAACUGUUUUUCUUGAGUAGUGCAGAGGUAGGCGGAAUUCCCGGUGUAGCGGUGGAAUGCGUAGAUAUCGGGAGGAACACCAGUGGCGAAGGCGGCCUACUGGGCACCAACUGACGCUGAGGCUCGAAAGUGUGGGUAGCAAACAGGAUUAGAUACCCUGGUAGUCCACACCGUAAACGAUGAUUACUAGGUGUUGGAGGAUUGACCCCUUCAGUGCCGCAGUUAACACAAUAAGUAAUCCACCUGGGGAGUACGACCGCAAGGUUGAAACUCAAAGGAAUUGACGGGGGCCCGCACAAGCAGUGGAGUAUGUGGUUUAAUUCGACGCAACGCGAAGAACCUUACCAAGUCUUGACAUCCUGCGACGCACAUAGAAAUAUGUGUUUCCUUCGGGACGCAGAGACAGGUGGUGCAUGGUUGUCGUCAGCUCGUGUCGUGAGAUGUUGGGUUAAGUCCCGCAACGAGCGCAACCCUUAUGGUCAGUUACUACGCAAGAGGACUCUGGCCAGACUGCCGUUGACAAAACGGAGGAAGGUGGGGAUGACGUCAAAUCAUCAUGCCCUUUAUGACUUGGGCUACACACGUACUACAAUGGCGUUAAACAAAGAGAAGCAAGACCGCGAGGUGGAGCAAAACUCAGAAACAACGUCCCAGUUCGGACUGCAGGCUGCAACUCGCCUGCACGAAGUCGGAAUUGCUAGUAAUCGCAGAUCAGCAUGCUGCGGUGAAUACGUUCCCG
rnacentral:rRNA from 1 species